rnacentral:rRNA from 1 species
AAAACGACUCUCGGCAACGGAUAUCUCGGCUCUCGCAUCGAUGAAGAACGUAGCGAAAUGCGAUACUUGGUGUGAAUUGCAGAAUCCCGUGAACCAUCGAGUCUUUGAACGCAAGUUGCGCCCGAAGCCUUCGGGCCGAGGGCACGCCUGCCUGGGUGUCAUGC